UACAGAGGGUGCAAGCGUUAAUCGGAUUUACUGGGCGUAAAGCGCGCGUAGGCGGCUAAUUAAGUCAAAUGUGAAAUCCCCCGAGCUUAAACUUGGGAAUUGCAUUCGAUACUGGUUAGCUAGAGUGUGGGAGAGGAUGGUAGAAUUCCAGGUGUAGCGGUGAAAUGCGUAGAGAUCUGGAGGAAUACCGAUGGCGAAGGCAGCCAUCUGGCCUAACACUGACGCUGAGGUGCGAAAGCAUGGGGAGCAA
rnacentral:rRNA from 1 species